CUCAAAGGUAGAGGCCGCGAUAGGAAAGAGUAAGCUAUGGGAGAUUCAGUGGAAUCUUUGAUCAUAGAUUGAAAGGGACUAUUGCCGAAAUAUAAGAGUGACCACCUCAUUCAUAUAUUGGGACUACAUUGAAUAAAUGUAGUACUGUCAUAAGAUUUUAUUUUAUGGAGAGCUAUUUGGAGA
rfam:Bacillus cereus Rock3-44 chromosome, whole genome shotgun sequence.